UAGUUUAUUUAAUUAUUUAAUAUAAAUAAUUUUAUUGUAUUUUUGUCUUAGUAUAUUUUAUAGAAUUGAUUUUUUAAAUUAUAGUUUAUUGGUAAUGUAAGUGUUUUAUGAAAUAUUAUUUUAAAUUUUUUUAAGUAGAUUUUAUUUAUUGUACCUUUUGAAUCAGGGUUUAUCAAAAUUUUAGUAUUUAUUUUACUUGUCUCGAUUUGGGUUGAUUUAUAAAUAAUUUAUAGUUAAUGUAACUGUUUUAUGAAAUAUUAUUUUAAAUUUUUUUAAGUAGAUUUUAUUUAUUGUACCUUUUGUAUCAGGGUUUAUCAAAAUUUUAGUAUUUAUUUUACUUGUCUCGAUUUGGGUUGAUUUAUAAAUAAUUUAUAGUUAAUGUAUCAUAAUUAUUAUUAAAUUAUUUAUAGAAAUGAGAUGUUAAUCGUUUCCCAAGAUAUCUAGUUUCUUAAGAAAAAAUUUAAUUUUUUAAAGUUAUUUGUUUUUAUUUAAUUUUUUAAGUAAAAAUAUUAACUUAUUUAUUCUUUAAGGGAUAAGCUUUGAAGUUAAUAACCUAUAAUUUAUUUUAUAGAAAUAUAAUAGUAAGCUUUAAACCAGCUAUCUUUAAGAUUACGUUUUAGUUCAUUAUUUUUUAUUUUGAUUUUAUAAAUAUUUUAGGUUUUUUAUUAAGACUAUUAAUUUAAUUUUAAAAUUUUUGUAAUAAUGAUAGAAUUAGUAUAUUUAUUUGUAUGAAAUUUUUACCUUGCGAACUUAUUAUAAGGAACUAGGCAAAAUUGAUUUCCGCCUGUUUAUCAAAAACAUGUCCUCUUGUUUAUAUUUUGAGGUCUGGCCUGCUCACUGAGCGUAUUUUUAAAGAGCCGCGGUAUUUUGACCGUGCAAAGGUAGCAUCAUCAUUAGUCUCUUAAUUAGUGGCUGGAAUGAAUGGCUUGACGAGAAAUCAACUGUCUCUUAAUAAAUUUUUGAAUUUAACUUUAGAGUCAAAAGGCUUAAAUUCUUCUUUAGGACGAGAAGACCCUAUAGAGCUUGACAUUUUACUUUUAUAUAGUUUUUUGUUUGUCUUUCUAUAUUUAAUGAUGAUGUUUUGUUGGGGUGACAUGAAGAAUAGAUAAACUCUUCAUUAUUAUAUCAUUUAUUUAUGUUUGUUAUUUUGAUCCAUAAUUUAUGAUCAUAAGAUUAAGUUACCUUAGGGAUAACAGCGUAAUUGUUUUUGAGAGCUCAUAUCGACAAAGCAGAUUGCGACCUCGAUGUUGGAUUAAGAAAAAUUUUGGGUGCAGGAGCCCAAUGAUUAGGUCUGUUUGACCUUUAAAUUCUUACAUGAUCUGAGUUCAGACUGGCGUGAGCCAGGUCGGUUUCUAUCCUAAGAUUGUUAAUCCAUAUUAGUACGAAUGGACCAUAUGGUAAAAAUAUUUUUUGUUAUAUUGAUUAAUAUUAAUUUAUUUA